rnacentral:tRNA from 1 species
GCCCAGCUAGCUUAGUCAGUAGAGCUUGUAACUCUUGAUCUCAGGGUCAAGAGUUCAAGCCCCAUGUUGGGUA